UUCAAUCGACUCUUACUUGUAGCCAUAGUCCAUGGAUCUCUGCUUACUUGAAAAACACAAAAUUCACAUAAGCGAAAACAAAAAGAAAAAACAAUAGCAACGUCGAAAUGGCGGGAGGAGGAGGUGCUGCGGCCCAGCAGGCAGACACGGAGAUGGCAGAGGCGCCAUCGGACCCUCAGCAGCCACCGGCGGCUGCUCAGGCGGCGGGGAUCGAGAACAUCCCGGCUGCGUUGAGCCAUGGGGGAUAAUUUAUUCAGUACAACAUAUUUGGGAAGAUAUUUGAAGUGACGGCAAAGUAUAAGCCACCUAUUCUGCCCAUCGGAAAGGGUGCAUACGGCAUCGUUUGGUACUUUGGCAUCAAAAUAUGAAAAGCUUGGAGGUGAAGUGACAUUGAUGGACAAACUUGAUAAGGUCACUCGAUCUCUUAGUCUUAUUCUAAUUAGUAAAAUUGUUCACUUAUAUUUUUUUUAUGUAUAUCAUCAGUACAUGUGCAGUUGACUUUGCUUUUACACCUUUCUAAUAUUUCAUAAGAUAAUAUAUAAAUCAGUGAUAAACACGGUCGGUGUUGCUACUAGCAACUCCAUUGCUGUGGGUGAUUCCCUUUACCAUGAUAUUAAGGGAGCCAAUGCAGCUGGAAUCCAGUCAGUAUUUACCAUUGGAGGAAUCCAUGCAAAUGAACUUGGACUAGGCAGUCUCAGAGGAGUUGCGGAUUUAUCUUCUAUCCAAAACUCUUUUAUCAAAAUAUGAUGCGUAUCCAUCAUGUGUUGCCGACAUUCAUAUGGUAAAAUCUUAUCAAGGUAAGUACGGAUUUAGUCACUAUAUUUCCGAACUUGCUUGUCUGUAGUAAAUAUAGUUGAUAUGGACCUAUAUCUAAAACUCAGUAAUGAAGGAUAGAAUCUGAAACA